rnacentral:rRNA from 1 species
UGAUGCAGCAACGCCGCGUGAGCGAUGAAGGCCUUCGGGUCGUAAAGCUCUGUCCUCAAGGAAGAUAAUGACGGUACUUGAGGAGGAAGCCCCGGCUAACUACGUGCCAGCAGCCGCGGUAAUACGUAGGGGGCUAGCGUUAUCCGGAAUUACUGGGCGUAAAGGGUGCGUAGGUGGUUUUUUAAGUCAGAAGUGAAAGGCUACGGCUCAACCGUAGUAAGCUUUUGAAACUAGAGAACUUGAGUGCAGGAGAGGAGAGUAGAAUUCCUAGUGUAGCGGUGAAAUGCGUAGAUAUUAGGAGGAAUACCAGUAGCGAAGGCGGCUCUCUGGACUGUAACUGACACUGAGGCACGAAAGCGUGGGGAGCAAACAGGAUUAGAAACCCGGGUAG